ensembl:antisense Gm44672 predicted gene 44672
CACUGCUGACCCUGGCAAGCGGCUCAGAGCAGGCGACACUCCUGUCCCACCCGCCUCCCGGGACAGACACUGGCCCCCAAGCGCCCUCGGCUCACUACCUCCGGGUAAGAGCAGGGAAGCCGGGGAGGCGGCGGCCUGCGUGACGGGGAUGAAGGGCACGUUGAAGCUGAACUCCGUGGCCGAGGAAGAGAAGAGUAAGUUAGUGCCUGACGAGGAGGCGGACGCUCCGCCGCCGUUAGCCUUCCUAUCCGCCAUGGCUGCAGACCCCCGGCCGUUACGUGGCUCUGCGAGCCCGGUGCUGCACACAGACCGGAAACCGGUUAGCGAGGAUGCCACCGCACUUCCGCACUUGCGCACAGGUGCCACAGGCCAGCGUCUCCGGGAUCGGUUUUCUUCCGGAAUUUGACGCCGCCCAAAAUCAAUAAGGUGGAAUCGGCUUCAGACCCAAGCCUAUCACGUGACAGCCUCGGUCUCGCGAGACUGGGUCAGCCUCUGGAAUCACAGCAUAGAAUAGAGAGGUGUGGCCGAUGAAUCCUAGCGUUAAUUGACGCUCGAAGUCGCAGAUUCUGAGAUGUCCUGGACGCCCUGAGUUUCUCAUGGAGUAUCUGUUUUUGGUUGGUUGGUUUAUUUGCUUGCUUGCGAGGCAGGAUCUCUCUAUGCUGCCCAGACUGACUUUUUAUCCUCCUGCCUCAGCUCUUCCAUUUCUGAGAUUAAUACCACCACACACUGCAAUUCUUAUAUCUUUAUGACAGGCGGUCAUAAGAAUUGGAAGUAAGAAUUAUUAUCGGCUGGGUUCCUUUUUUUUUUUCAGUUACGUUUUUAUGAUGUUGCCUGGAAUUCUCAAGAGGUCUGUCUGCCUCUUCUUCCCAAGUGCUUAAAAGGAGUGUGCCACCACUCCAGGCUACUAUCUCCUUGAAUGUGUGCAUCAACAAAAAGUGCCUUUGGUAAGGCAGUUCCAAGUGGUAGACGAUUUAUGUUUCAAAGGGGCAGAGAAAAGAUGUAUAAUUGCAACAUUCUAGAGUUACUGCUGUAAUUUAGGGUUUGGGGACCUAUCUGCCUACUACCAGGUUUUGGCUGGAAUAAAAACAUUAAAUUCUG